rnacentral:rRNA from 1 species
AGGACGAACGCUGGCGGCGUGCUUAACACAUGCAAGUCGAGCGGAAAGGCUCCUUCGGGGGUACUCGAGCGGCGAACGGGUGAGUAACACGUGAGUAAUCUGCCCUUCACUUGGGGAUAACCUCCGGAAACGGUGGCUAAUACCCGAUAUGACCAGCCCACGCAUGUGGUGUUGGUGGAAAGUUUUUCGGUGGGGGAUGUGCUCGCGGCCUAUCAGCUUGUUGGUGGGGUAAUGGCCUACCAAGGCUUCGACGGGUAGCCGGCCUGAGAGGGUGACCGGCCACACUGGGACUGAGACACGGCCCAGACUCCUACGGGAGGCAGCAGUGGGGAAUAUUGGACAAUGGGCGGAAGCCUGAUCCAGCAACGCCGCGUGAGGGAUGACGGCCUUCGGGUUGUAAACCUCUUUCAGCACAGACGAAGCCUCUUGGGGUGACGGUAUGUGCAGAAGAAGCACCGGCCAACUACGUGCCAGCAGCCGC